rnacentral:rRNA from 1 species
CACGUAGUUAGCCGUGGCUUCCUCACAGGGUACCGUCACCUCCUUCGUCCCCUGCAACAGAGGUUUACAACCCGAAGGCCGUCUUCCCUCACGCGGCGUCGCUGCAUCAGGGUCUCCCCCAUUGUGCAAUAUCCCCCACUGCUGCCUCCCGUAGGAGUCUGGGCCGUGUCUCAGUCCCAAUGUGGCCGUUCAACCUCUCAGUCCGGCUACUGAUCGUCGCCUUGGUGGGCCGUUACCCCGCCAACUAGCUAAUCAGCCGCGAGCUCAUCUCUGUGCGAUAAAUCUUUGAUAUACCGGCCAUGCGGCCACUAUAUGUUAUGCGGUAUUAGCGUCCGUUUCCAGACGUUAUCCCCCUCACAGAGGCAGAUUGCUCACGUGUUACUCACCCGUCCGCCACUAAAAGUGAAAAGCAAGCUCUCACUCUCCGUUCACUUGCAUGUGUUAGGCGCGCCGCCAGCGUUCGUCCUGCGCCACGGAUCAAACUCUCUGACGUACG